rnacentral:rRNA from 1 species
GUGCCAGCAGCCGCGGUAAUACGUAGGUGGCAAGCGUUGUCCGGAGUUAUUGGGCGUAAAGCGCGCGCAGGCGGUUGGAUAAGUCCAUGGUGAAAGCGCCUGGCUCAACUAGGCGAGUGCCGUGGGGACUGUUCAGCUGGAGUGGAGCAGAGGCGAGUGGAAUUCCGGGUGUAGUGGUGAAAUGCGUAGAGAUCCGGAGGAACACCAGAGGCGAAGGCGGCUCGCUGGGCUUUGACUGACGCUGAGGCGCGAAAGCGUGGGGAGCGAACCGGAUUAGAUACCCGUGUAGUCC